GUAAGGAAUAUUGGACAAUGGACGCAAGUCUGAUCCAGCCAUGCCGCGUGAAGGAUUAAGGUCCUCUGGAUUGUAAACUUCUUUUAUAAGGGACGAAAAAAGGCUUUUCUAAGUCGUCUGACGGUACCUUAUGAAUAAGCACCGGCUAACUCCGUGCCAGCAGCCGCGGUAAUACGGAGGGUGCAAGCGUUAUCCGGAUUCACUGGGUUUAAAGGGUGCGUAGGCGGGCAGGUAAGUCAGUGGUGAAAUCCUAGAGUUUAACUCUAUAACUGCCAUUGAUACUAUCUGUCUUGAAUAUUGUUGAGGUAAGCGGAAUAUGUCAUGUAGCGGUGAAAUGCUUAGAUAUGACAUAGAACACCUAUUGCGAAGGCAGCUUACUACGCAUAUAUUGACGCUGAGGCACGAAAGCGUGGGGAUCAAACAGGAUUAGAUACCCCAGUAGUCC
rnacentral:rRNA from 1 species